rnacentral:piRNA from 1 species
UUGGAACCAGAAGACACUCGUGGAGGCGU